UGUAUGUAUAUAGUUUCAGGGCUGACCACU
rnacentral:piRNA from 1 species